AAUCCCUAUGUACCUUCACCCAGAAUUCCUAAACCCUCUAAUAGUAAAAUCUUAUAUAACCUAUAUAUAACCUCUACAUUAUCAAUACCAAGAAACUGACAUUUGUAUGAUACUGCCUACUAACCUGGAGAUGCAUUUGAAUUUUAUCAAUUACUUGUUUUCUCUCUACAUAUCAUUCAGUGAAAUUUAAUCACAUAUAUAGAUGCAUGUAACUACCACAGUAAUCCUGAACAAAAUGAUUUAAUCAUCACAAAGAAGCACUCAGGCUCCAUUUUAUAAUCAUAACCCUCUCUACAAAUGUAACCCCUGCCUGGCAACCACUGAUCUGUUCUCCAUAACCACAAUUUUGUCUUUUCAAUAGAUAUAUAAGUGGAAUCACACAAUGCACAUAACCUUUUUAGAUUGGCUUCUUUUUGCUC
rnacentral:lncRNA from 1 species